CUGAGCUAGAGGGCAGAUGCUUAAUGACUGAGCCACCCGGGCGCCCCCAUCAGAAGGUGAAGCAAGACAUCUGCAGGACAAACGUGGCCCAGGGGACACCAACGUGCCAUAUUUUGAGAGAUGAGGGCACAACGUUCCAGAGAGAAGAAGGGGUUUUCCUGGGGUCCCCAAAUGAAAAUUCCAAACACAGAGAAAAGCUGAACGAACCAUGGAGAACAUGUGUACACCUGCCUUGCCGUGUCUACCACUGAUGCUCCGCUUCACCUGUCCUCCCCUCCGUCUGCACACCCACCCGUCCAUCUGUCCACCUUUUCAUUUUCAUUCGUUCUGAUGCCUGUCAGAGUAAUUGGCAGAGAUCGGGAACAUCACCCUUACACAGCUCAGGCCAUGCACUCCUUUUCUUUCUAAGCUUUGACUCAAAAGUAAUUCAUGAAGGGGCGCCUGGGUGGCUCAGUGGGUUGGGCCGCUGCCUUUGGCUCAGGUCAUGAUCCCAGAGUCCUGGGAUCGAGU